rnacentral:rRNA from 1 species
CGGACGGGUGAGUAACGCGUGGAUAACCUGCCUCACACUGGGGGAUAACAGUUAGAAAUGGCUGCUAAUACCGCAUAAGCGCACAGUACCGCAUGGUACGGUGUGAAAAACCCAGGUGGUGUGAGAUGGAUCCGCGUCUGAUUAGCCAGUUGGCGGGGUAACGGCCCACCAAAGCGACGAUCAGUAGCCAACCUGAGAGGGUGACCGGCCACAUUGGGACUGAGACACGGCCCAA